GUAACAACCCUAAAAAAUAGAGAUAAAAUAAUUUAUCAUUGAUUCAGUUUUAACUGAAGUAUAAUGUGCCUGUGUCAUAAUGUAUAAAAUAUAACCGAAGAAUGAGCUACAGAGGGCAGAGGGCAAAAUAUUAAAGCAUAAUACAGAAUGCAGUUACCGAAAGCACCACAAGAUGGCACUAUCACUUAGAGCAAGUGGCGGGUUCAGACAGGAAGUGAUGUUAGAAAGACCAGGAAGUGAUGCGGAUAAGGACAGGAAGAGAUGGAAAGUAGGAACAGGAAGUGAUGUAAGAAAAAGACAAGGCGUUCUAUAAGGUAAAGUAGGAAGUUCCAGGAGAGAGAAGAACGAGUUGGAGAGGAGACAUCACUGGAUUACACAGAGGAGACCUGACUGGAGAUUGUGCACAGGAUAAAUAAAGAAAACAGCUGCCAGCCCCAUGAUCCAUCUUUAGAAGGACGCAAGGAUCUCUACAAGGACGUCAUGAUGGACAAUCAGCCGCCCCUCACAUCACCGGAUGGAUCCAGUAAUGGGAACCCACCAGA